rnacentral:rRNA from 1 species
UAUGCCUACGGGGCGCAGCAGUGGGGGAUAUUGCACAAUGGGGGAAACCCUGAUGCAGCGACGCCGCGUGAGUGAAGAAGUAUUUCGGUACGUAAAGCUCUAUCAGCAGGGAAGAAAAAAAGUCCACAGGACUUUGGACGGUACCUGACUAAGAAGCCCCGGCUAACUACGUGCCAGCAGCCGCGGUAAUACGUAGGGGGCAAGCGUUAUCCGGAUUUACUGGGUGUAAAGGGAGCGUAGACGGCUGUGCAAGUCUGAAGUGAAAUGCCGGGGCCCAACCCCGGAACUGCUUUGGAAACUGUGCG